CUCUCUCACAGGCACAAGACUCGAUCAUCUAAAUUUACCUAUGUAACAAACUCAAUACACAGCAUGCAUAUGGUGAUCAAGCAUAACAUAACGUAUGUAAAGAGUAAAAUAUAAUUUGAAAUUAAUCAAUUAAGCAUCACAAAAGUAAUUUACAGCAAAGGCAUAUCGAAAUCCUUAAAGAAACAUGAUUAGGGCUUCAAUCGAGCCCUAACUAAAGUACUUAGUUACCCAUAAUUUAAAUAGACAGCAAGAACAUACAAAACAGAAAAUAAAAAGAGGAAGAAGAUAGCUCUUUGAUGAUGUGUUGGUCAGCCAAAGUGAUUGGAUGAUGCCUUGACGUUUCUCCUUGCUUCCUACGCCUUUCAGACCUUGGAACCUUG
rnacentral:lncRNA from 1 species